GGCUUGCAGUAGCAUUCGCGCCGAACUCCAUGUGGCUUGAUGUUGGAAGAUUAUCCACAGGGUUUGCAGUUGGUUUGUUAAGCUACGUGAUACCUGUUUAUAUCGCAGAAAUAACACCAAAACAUGUCCGAGGAGCGUUUGUAUUUGCUAAUCAGCUGAUGCAGAGUUGUGGGUUGUCUUUAUACUAC